CUCCUGACCAGUCUGCACACUGGCCUCCACGCCUGGAGCCUCUGCCCAGGUAACCGGAACAGUGAACAUACCAUUAAGCACAUGCUCAGUUGUGCCGACUCUCUUGUGACUUCACGGACUGCAGCCAACCAGGGUCCUGUGUCCAUGGAAUUCUCCAGGCAAGAAUACUGGAAUGGGUUGCCCUUUCUCCCUCCGAAGGAUCUUCCUGACCCAGGACUCAAACCCACCUCCUUGCGUUAGCAGGACUGGGGGAAGCCAGGGACUGAGAGACCAGUCGACCCUACAGUGAUUGCUACACUCCACUUCAGAGAACGAGAAACCUGAUCUCAUUCAAGCCACUGAGACCCGGGGCUCCAAUCAGUGGAGCCAAAUCUAAUCCCAGCACUGCCAACUCUUGUCACCGGG
ensembl:lncRNA